AGAGUUUGAUCAUGGCUCAGAACGUACGCUGGCGGCACGCCUAACACAUGCAAGUCGAACGAAGUAGCAAUACUUAGUGGCAGACGGGUGAGUAACAUGUGGGUAUCUGCCCUUUGGCCUGGAAUAACACGAGGAAACUUGUGCUAAUACCGGAUAAGUCUUUACAGAGAAAGCUUUAUGCACCAUUGGAUGAGCCCGCACUUGAUUAGUUUGUUGGUGGGGUAAUGGCUUACCAAGACUGUGAUCAAUAGCUGAUUUGAGAGGAUGAUCAGCCACAUUGGGACUGAGACACGGCCCAAACUCCUACGGGAGGCAGCAGUGGGGAAUCUUGCACAAUGGAGGAAACUCUGAUGCAGCGAUGCCGCGUGAGUGAAGAAGGCCCUUGGGUUGUAAAGCUCUUUCGUCGGGGAAGAAAAUGACUGUACCCGAAUAAGAAGGUCCGGCUAACUUCGUGCCAGCAGCCGCGGUAAUACGAAGGGACCUAGCGUAGUUCGGAAUUACUGGGCUUAAAGAGUUCGUAGGUGGUUGAAAAAGUUGGUGGUGAAAUCCCAGAGCUUAACUCUGGAACUGCCAUCAAAACUUUUCAGCUAGAGUUUGAUAGAGGAAAGCAGAAUUUCUAGUGUAGAGGUGAAAUUCGUAGAUAUUAGAAAGAAUACCAAUUGCGAAGGCAGCUUUCUGGAUCAUUACUGACGCUGAGGAACGAAAGCAUGGGUAGCGAAGAGGAUUAGAUACCCUCGUAGUCCAUGCCGUAAACGAUGUGUGUUAGACGUUGGAAAUUUAUUUUCAGUGUCGCAGCGAAAGCGAUAAACACACCGCCUGGGGAGUACGACCGCAAGGUUAAAACUCAAAUGAAUUGACGGGGACCCGCACAAGUAGUGGAGCAUGUGGUUUAAUUCGAAGAUACGCGCAGAACCUUACCAACACUUGACAUGUUCGUCGCGACUUUAAGAGAUUAAAGUUUUCGGUUCGGCCGGACGAAACACAGGUGCUGCAUGGCUGUCGUCAGCUCGUGUCGUGAGAUGUUGGGUUAAGUCCCGCAACGAGCGCAACCCUCACUUUUAGUUGCCAUCAUUAAGUUGGGCACUCUGAAAGAACUGCCAGUGAUAAGCUGGAGGAAGGUGGGGAUGACGUCAAGUCCUCAUGGCCCUUACGUGUUGGGCUACACACGUGCUACAAUGGUAUCUACAACAGGAAGCGAAACAGCGAUGUUAAGCAAAUCCUUAAAAGAUACCUCAGUUCGGAUUGCACUCUGCAACUCGAGUGCAUGAAGCUGGAAUUACUAGUAAUCGUGGAUCAGCGUGCCACGGUGAAUGCGUUCCCGGGUCUUGUACACACCGCCCGUCACACCAUGGGAGUUGGUUCUACCUUAAGGCAAGGUUUAAUACCCUUGACCACGGUAUAGUCAGCGACUGGGGUGAAGUCGUAACAAGGUAACCGUA
rnacentral:rRNA from 1 species